AUGCAUCUGUUUGACAGACCCGAAGCAGUUACUGUCUGCUUCUAGAUUUCCAUUAAAGAUGCAAGAAAAGAGCUUCCUCGUGCUUUCUGUCUUUCUGAUUGCAAUAGCCAAGACUGAAUGGAGGAACACAGAG
ensembl:snoRNA